GUCACCAAUGUGACGGCCGUGAAAGGCAAAGACAGAAACAGCUGGGUGUUGUCCUGAAAACGAAGAGAGACGAUCAGGGAUUAUCACCUGUGACCUCCAGGGCAUGACAGGAAAACCGCAAAUCUGUCUGUGCAAGAAAAGGGCAGCGUGACAGUCUUUGGGGAGAACAAGCUGGCGUUUAAGGGGCAGCCGGUCCUGUUUGAAUGCCGAGCUGCAGGAUGGUACCCUCAGCCCCUUCUACAAUGGCGGGUUAAUGGCAAAAUGGUAAAUUUAUCAGACAUUGUGACAUGUACCAUCUUUAAAGACCCACUCUCAUCAAGUUAUUUAAAUAUUCCUUUUACCCUAGUAACAUGUUCAUAUGGUGCCUUUUAUAUGUUGGAGUACUUAUCAUGAGCAAAAAUAAGCAAUCAACACCAUGGCAAAGCAUUUCCACCGUGGAACUGUGGUGUACCAAUGACAGUUGCAAAAACAUGGAUUAGACUUCUGAGGUUUCAUCUAUAAAACACGUAGUGAACCAGUGCUGUUAAAUUACACUGUUGGCCGAAUCACAUUAAUAUUACAACUUGCCAUUGUAUAGCGUAGACAAGUUUCACAGUGUAAGCAGAGGUGUAGGUAAAGUGGUGUGCUUGAGUUGCACAUUCACAAGGAAGCAAUUGUGUAGUUACAGGUAAGUCAUUUUAAGCAUGAAGAGAUAAUUUAUUGUAAAAAAAUAAAUAAAUAAAAAGGUGUAAAUAUGUCGUUUCAAUACACAGAAACAAAUUAAUGACCGCGGAAGGACUUUAACAUAAACACCAUUGAAGCCUGCUUUCUUGUUAGCUAGUCUGCCAAUGGUUUAUCUGUAACAUACUUUAAACAAUAUAUGUGAUAGCGUAUCUGCACAGUUACAUAAUUUUUGCAGGUCUUGAAAUAAAAUAAUGGAUACUACACUGAAAUGCCAUGUCUCUAAUUUGGGUAGAUUUAUACUACCGUUCAAAAGUCUGGGGUUGUCCAGACAAUUUCAUGUUUUCCAAUAAAAUACACAUAUUUCUUCAUGUGUUAACAUAAUUGCACAAGGGUUUUCUAAUCAUCAAUCAGCCUUUCAACACCAUUAGCUAACACAAUGUAGCAUUAGAACACAGGAGUGAUGGUUGCUGGAAAUGUUCCUCUGUACCCCUAUGGAGAUAUUACAUUAAAAAUCAGCCUUUUCCAGCUAGAAUACUCAUUUACCACAUUAACAGUGUCUACACUGUAAUUCUGAUUAAUUUAAUGCUGUAUUUAUUGAAAAAAGCUGCUUUUCAUUCAAAAAUAAUGACAUUUCUAAAUGACCCCAAACUUUUGAACGGUUGUGUACAUCAGCAGAGAAAUAACUGAGAGACAUGUUCCUAGUUUAAUAGAUAGCAACCAAACUUCAGGGGAACUCAUUUCACUUCAAAAGCAAUUAGGCAGAUACACAUGACGUCAAACUAAACCAUCAUAUUUGAUAUUUUGUGGAAAAUCCUGUGUCUUCAACCCACAGACAUCAGCAGAUACUUUCUAUGCUCCCUGGUGACACAUUCCUUCUCUGCAGCCUCCUUCAGCUCCUGCUUUUUGAACUGAAAUCAUAUCAUAGGAUAUUCUUUAUUGCUGCUUUUGGUGUAUGUUUAGGAGCAAUUAAUGAUGCAAUAUUGCAAUUAAUUUUAAUGGGCGUAACUGAACCUGAACUAACUGAACUCUGCAUUCAACCUGUUGUUUCUGUCUGCAGUCAAAUCCUUGGUAACAUGGACUUCUAGCUGUUUUAUGCAGCAUAAUUGUGAUGCUGUGCUUGUUUUUGUCUACCUGUUCAGGGACAACAGAUGUAAAUUAGCUGCUAGGUGGCAAUUACUUUCAAUUGUGCUUUGUCCCUGCAAAAAUAAACAGUAAAAUUAAAUAAAUGCCAGUGUGCUAUUUCAGGUGGCAGACGUACAUGUCCAAACUACACCACAGGCACCACUGGGUUUGACAGAUGAAAUGCUACUUUGGUUCAUGAGCUUAUUUCUACACAUUUUGGAUUUAUCUUAUCAGUUCAUAACCUGUGAGGUUUGCUUGCAUCAAAUUUUCCCUUUUCAGCUAUCCAUAAGAGCCUCCUCGACUUGCUUUGCAGUCAUAAAAGGGUCUUUCUUCUGCAUGCAAAUGAUUAUUCCAGUCAUCAAUAAGACUCAUGCCCCUUGGCCUACGAGGCCAUUUGCCAUUUUCUAAUUUUCCAGCUAUUGAUUCUGGCAAAAACAAAGUCACAGGGUGAGAUUCAAGUUCUAGCUUGUGCAGGUGAAUUACUUCUUUUUGAGAGAAAGUGGCCCAAAGACUUUUCCUGACCCUUUAGGAAACACUUUGUAAUGGUGAGGAACACAUUGCUUAGUGAAGAGACAAGAGAAGCUGAUUUGAUCAACCAUAGAUCCUAUUUUAUGUACUUGUAAUGUUCUUCAGUUGCCAAUAAAUGCUGCAGCACCUUUCCUAGA